rnacentral:rRNA from 1 species
CCUACGGGGGGCAGCAGUGAGGAAUAUUGGUCAAUGGGCGGGAGCCUGAACCAGCCAAGCCGCGUGCGGGAAGAAGGUACUGCGUAUUGUAAACUUCUUUUGUCAGGGAACAAAGGCAGGGACUAGUCUCUGGCUGAGGGUAUCUGAAGAAUAAGCAUCGGCUAACUCCGUGCCAGCAGCCGCGGUAAUACGGAGGAUGCGAGCGUUAUCCGGAUUUAUUGGGGUUAAAGGGUGCGGAGGCGGUCGGUUAAGUUAGAGGUGAAAUCCCGGGGCUCAACUGCGGACGUGCCUUUGAUACUGGCAGGCUAGAGAGUAGGUGAGGUAGGCGGAAUGUAUGGUGUAGCGGUGAAAUGCUUAGAGAUCAUACAGAACACCGAUUGCGAAGGCAGCGUACCAA